UGCAGUCGAGCGGGCGUAUGACAAUACAGUCAGCGGCAGACGGGUGAGUAACGCGUGGGAACGUACCUUUUGGUUCGGAACAACACAGGGAAACUUGUGCUAAUACCGGAUAAGCCCUUACGGGGAAAGAUUUAUCGCCGAAAGAUCGGCCCGCGUCUGAUUAGCUAGUUGGUGAGGUAAUGGCUCACCAAGGCGACGAUCAGUAGCUGGUCUGAGAGGAUGAUCAGCCACAUUGGGACUGAGACACGGCCCAAACUCCUACGGGAGGCAGCAGUGGGGAAUAUUGGACAAUGGGGGCAACCCUGAUCCAGCCAUGCCGCGUGAGUGAUGAAGGCCCUAGGGUUGUAAAGCUCUUUUGUGCGGGAAGAUAAUGACGGUACCGCAAGAAUAAGCCCCGGCUAACUUCGUGCCAGCAGCCGCGGUAAUACGAAGGGGGCUAGCGUUGCUCGGAAUCACUGGGCGUAAAGGGUGCGUAGGCGGGUCUUUAAGUCAGGGGUGAAAUCCUGGAGCUCAACUCCAGAACUGCCUUUGAUACUGAGGAUCUUGAGUUCGGGAGAGGUGAGUGGAACUGCGAGUGUAGAGGUGGAAAUUUGUAGAUUAUUGGCCAGAACACCAGUGGCGAAAGGCGGCUCAACUGGCCCGAUAGUGACGUUGAGGCACGAAAGCGUGGGGAGCAAACAAGGAUUAGAUACCCUGGGUAGUCCACGCCGUAAAACGAUGAAUGCCAGCCGUUAGUGGGUUUACUCACUAGUGGCGCAGCUAACCGCCUUAAGCAUUCCGCCUGGGGAGUACGGUCGCAAGAUUAAAACUCAAAGGAAUUGACGGGGGCCCGCACAAGCGGUGGAGCAUGUGGUUUAAUUUGACGCAACGCGCAGAACCUUACCAGCCCUUGACAUGUCCAGGACCGGUCGCAGAGAUGUGACCUUCUCUUCGGAGCCUGGAGCACAGGUGCUGCAUGGCUGUCGUCAGCUCGUGUCGUGAGAUGUUGGGUUAAGUCCCGCAACGAGCGCAACCCCCGUCCUUAGUUGCUACCAUUUAGUUGAGCACUCUAAGGAGACUGCCGGUGAUAAGCCGCGAGGAAGGUGGGGAUGACGUCAAGUCCUCAUGGCCCUUACGGGCUGGGCUACACACGUGCUACAAUGGCGGUGACAAUGGGAUGCUAAGGGGCGACCCUUCGCAAAUCUCAAAAAGCCGUCUCAGUUCGGAUUGGGCUCUGCAACUCGAGCCCAUGAAGUUGGAAUCGCUAGUAAUCGUGGAUCAGCACGCCACGGUGAAUACGUUCCCGGGCCUUGUACACACCGCCCGUCACACCAUGGGAGUUGGUUUUACCUGAAGACGGUGCGCUAACCCGCAAGGGAGGCAGCCGGCCACGGUAGGGUCAGCGACUGGGGGAAGUC
rnacentral:rRNA from 1 species